GCUUGCUGCUUUGCUGACGAGUGGCGGACGGGUGAGUAAUGUCUGGGAAACUGCCCGAUGGAGGGGGAUAACUACUGGAAACGGUAGCUAAUACCGCAUAACGUCGCAAGACCAAAGAGGGGGACCUUAGGGCCUCUUGCCAUCGGAUGUGCCCAGAUGGGAUUAGCUAGUAGGUGGGGUAAAGGCUCACCUAGGCGACGAUCCCUAGCUGGUCUGAGAGGAUGACCAGCCACACUGGAACUGAGACACGGUCCAGACUCCUACGGGAGGCAGCAGUGGGGAAUAUUGCACAAUGGGCGCAAGCCUGAUGCAGCCAUGCCGCGUGUAUG
rnacentral:rRNA from 1 species